rnacentral:snRNA from 1 species
GGAUCUGAGGGCAUUCUGGCUGUGACAUCUGUCACCCCAUUGAUCACCAGGGUUGAUUCAGCUGAUCUGGAUGGCUAGGUAGGUGUCUUCUUCCUCCCUCACCGCUCCAUGUGCAUCUCUGGAAGCUGUGUGCUCAGUCAAAGAGGAUGGCCUUCCCCAAAUAGAGAAGUACCAGUCUUUGGUCAAGUGGUAUAAAAGUAGCUGUGAUCCCCUGCUAGAACCUCCAAACAAGCUCUCAACAAGGUCCAUUUGUAGGAGAAUAUAGGGUAGUCAGUCUUCCAAGACUCCAGACACAUCCAAAUGAGGCGCUACAUGUGGCAGUCUGCCUUAAGAA